AAGGAGGAGCUUUCCAUAAUCUAUUGUGAUUUGUUUGAUGAAUGGGAUAAGGUUUCUUUUUGAAACAAAGGAUGAAUACUUCUGGAAAACAAGAAGAUACAGGAGAUUCAUUGGAUUCAAGUUCAUCAAUUUUGAAAAAUAAGUUUAUGGGGAAAGUGUGUUACUUUUGAAAAAUCCUUACAGACUUAAGGAUGAUUGAAACAUGUCCACUUUUGGAUAUUUGUGUGGCUAUACUUAAAAGUAUGGUUACUAUGAAAAGAUGUACUAAGGAAAUUAGUAUGUGUAAUAUUAUUAUGGUAUUAAUAAUAUUGAUGUCUCGAAACAUUCGGUUUAUAUACAACUAAUAGUGGGAUGUUUGACUAGCAUGGAAGUCGGAAUUGUUUAGAGGUAUAGAUAGAUACCUUUGAGACACAAUGAGACAAAUGCUAGGAGAGUUUCUCCAUGAGAUUUAAUGGUGGAGGAAGAUGGAAACUUACAUCACAAGUUGGCAUAAUGAGACAAG
rnacentral:lncRNA from 1 species